CUGCCUCCUGGACGAGUAGCCAGCAGCAGCAGAGACACUUCCGCCCAGGAGUCAACGAUGCCCAGGGCAGUGCCAGCUCUGGGGCCUCCUGCCCCACUCUUAGAACAUGGGGAUGGGAAGGAGCUGCAGACCGGCCCGGCCUCAGAACAGACGUGCCGAAAGAGCACAAGCAAGCCACUCUGCCCUCCACAGCCAGCACCAGAAGCCAUGCCUGUAACUGGAGAUGUGGGGGCAGAGAAUCUGACGCAAGUGAUCAAGCAAGAGAGGUGAAGGGGAGAAUUCACAGAUCCAAAGGGACCAAUAUGGCCAUUGAGUCCAACCCCCUGGCAAUGCAGGGCACCAGUUACACCAUCCCAACCUGACCAUCCCAAUGGUCUCAAUGUUCCUUGCAUGCAUCCAGUGCAGAAGAGCACAGAACCCCUCUUGGCUGAAGCACAUCAACGAAACCAGCCUCCUGCUCCCAGCAACCAAGCAGAGUGAGAAAGUAAAAGGGAGGCAGAGCUUCCAGAAAUCAUUGCUUCAAGGUACCUCACCUUGGGAGAAGCAAGGGAGGUCUGGCACGUCUUCUGGGAGAGACUGGACUUCCAUGGAGUCUGGGCAAGGAAGCUGGUGGCCAGGAGUUCCUCGUCCCUGCCGUAAAGGAUCAUCAUCUGGCCCCACAGAAUAUAACAGCCCUCAGAGGCCGAAUUGCACUGCAACACCCUGCUGAGAAGGGGCAGGCCAGCAGGGGAGAGACACUGAAGCAAGGGCCACAGAAGGGUGCAGAGUGGCACCUCUCUUGCCCUUUUCCUCAGAAGCACCUGUUCCACGCUGUGCAUUCAGAUCCAGAGACCUUGCACUGACUGACUGGGUUCUCGCCUCUUGCUUGCCCCCUUUUGCCCUCCACAGACCACCGUCCAACAGGACAAAGGAAAGUCAGCCUCAUGUCUACAGAGAAUGAUGGAUAGAUGGAAUAUCAAUAAAACAAUGUCUCACUGGUCUAGAGUUGCAUGUGGAAUGGAAGGAGGGGUCCGGCCUAUAAGUCUGCACUAAAAUCAAAGAUAUGGUAAAUCUCUGGGUCUCAGCUGCACAAUUUCUGACUGCAAAUGGAGAUCCACAUGAAUGACUACUUCCCCAUACAAACACACCACAAAAUACAAAAGAAGCUGCAUUUCGGACCUCCCCUGGUCACUGCUUCCGUAUCUGCUAACAAAGGGGAUGAUUUAACACCAGACCAGCCUGAAGAUGAGUCAGCCUGCUUCAGGUGCCAGAUGCUGCGAUACGAUUAGACAUAUGAUCAGAGGCAUUAUGCGUGUAUCUCCCAUGUUCCAGAGCUGGAACAAAUGUGGGGAAGGAGCAGGAGAAUGGAGGUGAGGCAAGGUGGUUCUGUGUGUCACAGUGCUGUGGACCUCUUUAAGGCACAAGGAAUUCCUUUUCCACAAAGGAGUCACGGUGAGCCUGGAGGAAAUAGUUCGGAACCAUCCAGAGGACAAACAAACCUGGAGGUGCUUCCGGACAGAUGACCCUUAGCACUGCGAGAAAUGAGAAAGCGCUGUGCAGCUUUCCAUUUUACUGCCUUCACAGAUUUAUGCCAAGAAGAGAAUAGAAGCUUACACACCUUCCCUGUAUUCUGGAUGAGCACAUGUUUGUUCUUCCUGUCAUUGUUGUUUUAUUAUACAUCUGGCAUUUAAGUCACCUAGACAUUUUAUUGGAAAAGUGAGAUCAAAAUCUGUUAAACACACUAUGCAUCUACACCUGACUGGCUGCUUGCAGGUUUCAUCACUUAAUGAGUGCAACCAUGAGCGAUGGCUCACAUGUGUGAACAGGACAGCAAAGAUACCCUGCUACCAAGGAAGCAUGCACUUCCCCUCUUCAGUGAGUCUCAUCACACAUUCAAAUGCCACUUUUUGAGCAUGCAGUAAUCAGACCUGAGAUUCAAGAAGCACCAUCAAGCUGGUUCACAGGUACAGGGGUGACCUGAACAGAGCUUGGACACUUGUGUUUUUGCAAAUGCUGAACGGAUUUUCCAGCUCAAAAACUAAAAACAAUAGUCUUCAUCUCUGCCUUCCACCUUGCAGCAAUUUGGCAUAUAUACCCAACAAAACAGAAUGGAGUACUUGAAGAAAUAUGAACAUACAAAGGGCUCUGCACUAUGGCCUGGGCACUAGGGAACAGCUGGUGGCCAGAGUAGGUAUGUGGCAAGCAAGGCUGCUGGACCAUGUUAAGGGCAGAAUAUUUUGCCUCAGGGGGGGUGGGGAAGAGGAUGGUGAUACUCUGUCGCAUCAGUUUCCUCUGCAUGCACAUUAACAAGUGCUGCCACAGAGAAAAGAGGCUCCAGUUCUGCAUGCUUACCUCAUCCUGACCUCGCAACAGGCCAGGCCUCAGCGAGGGGAGCAGUGCGGGGGAAGAGCUGGUGUCUUCAGCCUGGUAAGUGGCACUGGGAGAGCAGGGUGGGACUGAGUGCAUGAUAGGGAAUGGAAGAGUUUGCGGCCAGGCCACAUGGGAAGGAGAUGACUAGGGAAUUCUCUUCUAGCUCACAUCAGUACCCAAGCUGCGGAAAUUAGGGAUAAAACACUCAUCGUUUGUUUGAGACAAGUGGCUUGAGCCGCUGACACACGUGCUGAACCCAGAAAUGCCUGUCUUGGCAAGAUCACUUGUGCGUCGUGUGUUUAUUUCACAUGGAAGCGGGCAAGUGACCACAUGGACAGGCUCCACCGAAAGGUCUUGGGUUUGAGGCCAUGAUCUGGGCUGCAUCAGGGUUAUGGCUUAAUCUGCUACGACUCCUUGUGCGCUUUGAACCAAACACAAACACACAGACAGACACCUGGGAAAAGGGAGGAAGCACUUAUCAGUCUGAUGUCUGCAGCUGUGGCCAUCUGUGCUUACUUAACCUAGUAAAAUUGCUGUGUGUGGUAUUCAUAUGCAAUGACAAAGAGACUGAGGAGAAUGAAGCAUGUGUUGUGAGCCUGAGCAGAGUGGACAAGUUUAAUUAGGCAAAGGGGAUAAGGCAGUGUUACAGUGUUCCUGAAGGCCUAAGAGAGAAAAUGAAGAAUCAAGGGGCAUGAUGGGACUGACCCAGACUGAGGUAUUUUUGCACAGCAAAACCGAAAGCCAGGAGUGGUUGGAGAAUGGAACAUAAAAGAUAGGAUAAGCCCACCCUGUACCAUCCAGAGAGAGAAUGGGAUGUGGUGAACAUGUUUUUCCAAGAUAAGGGAAGACCAGCACAUGCUACGUCUGUGUCUUGCUCAAAUGAGCUCACUGUUCAAUCCAGUCUGAGCUGGCUGAUAGCGUAAACUUUUUGAGACAUAAAAUGCCUGGGCUUUCCUUCUCCCGUGUGUGCCAGGACAGCGCUCCAAGUGGUCACCCACAGUCCCUGCCAACAUUUGAUCAAAGCUGGAGGAGGGUCUAUUGGUCGUGUGUGAGUAUUGGAUGAAUGCGAGUGUGAAUGGGGCCUCUUGAUAUUGUUGCUGAGGAUUGCUGAGCUUGUAUUCUUAUACUUUUGUAUUCUUUAUAUCAUAGAAUAAAUGUUACAUGCAUAGUGUUUAAAACCUGA